rnacentral:rRNA from 1 species
AACCUGCCUCUUAGCGGGGGAUAACUAUUGGAAACGAUAGCUAAUACCGCAUAAAAGUCGACAUCGCAUGAUGUUGACUUGAAAGGUGCAAUUGCAUCACUAAGAGAUGGACCUGCGUUGUAUUAGCUAGUUGGUGAGGUAACGGCUCACCAAGGCGACGAUACAUAGCCGACCUGAGAGGGUGAUCGGCCACACUGGGACUGAGACACGGCCCAAACUCCUACGGGAGGCAGCAGUAGGGAAUCUUCGGCAAUGGGGGCAACCCUGACCGAGCAACGCCGCGUGAGUGAAGAAGGUUUUCGGAUCGUAAAGCUCUGUUGUAAGAGAAGA